rnacentral:rRNA from 1 species
UCAUGGCUCAGGAUGAACGCUAGCUACAGGCUUAACACAUGCAAGUCGAGGGGAAACGAUAGAGAAAGCUUGCUUUUUCUAGGCGUCGACCGGCGCACGGGUGAGUAACGCGUAUCCAACCUGCCCAUCACUUGGGGAUAACCUUGCGAAAGUAAGACUAAUACCCAAUGACGUCCAUAGAAGACAUCUGAAGUGGAUUAAAGAUUUAUCGGUGAUGGAUGGGGAUGCGUCUGAUUAGCUUGUUGGCGGGGUAACGGCCCACCAAGGCGACGAUCAGUAGGGGUUCUGAGAGGAAGGUCCCCCACAUUGGAACUGAGACACGGUCCAAACUCCUACGGGAGGCAGCAGUGAGGAAUAUUGGUCAAUGGGCGAGAGCCUGAACCAGCCAAGUAGCGUGCAGGAUGACGGCCCUAUGGGUUGUAAACUGCUUUUAUAAGGGAAUAAAGUGAGUCUCGUGAGACUUUUUGCAUGUACCUUAUGAAUAAGGACCGGCUAAUUCCGUGCCAGCAGCCGCGGUAAUACGGAAGGUCCGGGCGUUAUCCGGAUUUAUUGGGUUUAAAGGGAGCGUAGGCCGGAGAUUAAGCGUGUUGUGAAAUGUAGACGCUCAACGUCUGCACUGCAGCGCGAACUGGUUUCCUUGAGUACGCACAAAGUGGGCGGAAUUCGUGGUGUAGCGGUGAAAUGCUUAGAUAUCACGAAGAACUCCGAUUGCGAAGGCAGCUCACUGGAGCGCAACUGACGCUGAAGCUCGAAAGUGCGGGUAUCGAACAGGAUUAGAUACCCUGGUAGUCCGCACGGUAAACGAUGGAUGCCCGCUGUUGGUCUGAAUAGGUCAGCGGCCAAGCGAAAGCAUUAAGC